GGCGUGCUAUACAUGCAAGUCGAACGAACUCUGGUAUUGAUUGGUGCUUGCAUCAUGAUUUACAUUUGAGUGAGUGGCGAACUGGUGAGUAACACGUGGGAAACCUGCCCAGAAGCGGGGGAUAACACCUGGAAACAGAUGCUAAUACCGCAUAACAACUUGGACCGCAUGGUCCGAGUUUGAAAGAUGGCUUCGGCUAUCACUUUUGGAUGGUCCCGCGGCGUAUUAGCUAGAUGGUGGGGUAACGGCUCACCAUGGCAAUGAUACGUAGCCGACCUGAGAGGGUAAUCGGCCACAUUGGGACUGAGACACGGCCCAAACUCCUACGGGAGGCAGCAGUAGGGAAUCUUCCACAAUGGACGAAAGUCUGAUGGAGCAACGCCGCGUGAGUGAAGAAGGGUUUCGGCUCGUAAAACUCUGUUGUUAAAGAAGAACAUAUCUGAGAGUAACUGUUCAGGUAUUGACGGUAUUUAACCAGAAAGCCACGGCUAACUACGUGCCAGCAGCCGCGGUAAUACGUAGGUGGCAAGCGUUGUCCGGAUUUAUUGGGCGUAAAGCGAGCGCAGGCGGUUUUUUAAGUCUGAUGUGAAAGCCUUCGGCUCAACCGAAGAAGUGCAUCGGAAACUGGGAAACUUGAGUGCAGAAGAGGACAGUGGAACUCCAUGUGUAGCGGUGAAAUGCGUAGAUAUAUGGAAGAACACCAGUGGCGAAGGCGGCUGUCUGGUCUGUAACUGACGCUGAGGCUCGAAAGUAUGGGUAGCAAACAGGAUUAGAUACCCUGGUAGUCCAUACCGUAAACGAUGAAUGCUAAGUGUUGGAGGGUUUCCGCCCUUCAGUGCUGCAGCUAACGCAUUAAGCAUUCCGCCUGGGGAGUACGGCCGCAAGGCUGAAACUCAAAGGAAUUGACGGGGGCCCGCACAAGCGGUGGAGCAUGUGGUUUAAUUCGAAGCUACGCGAAGAACCUUACCAGGUCUUGACAUACUAUGCAAAUCUAAGAGAUUAGACGUUCCCUUCGGGGACAUGGAUACAGGUGGUGCAUGGUUGUCGUCAGCUCGUGUCGUGAGAUGUUGGGUUAAGUCCCGCAACGAGCGCAACCCUUAUUAUCAGUUGCCAGCAUUAAGUUGGGCACUCUGGUGAGACUGCCGGUGACAAACCGGAGGAAGGUGGGGAUGACGUCAAAUCAUCAUGCCCCUUAUGACCUGGGCUACACACGUGCUACAAUGGAUGGUACAACGAGUUGCGAACUCGCGAGAGUAAGCUAAUCUCUUAAAGCCAUUCUCAGUUCGGAUUGUAGGCUGCAACUCGCCUACAUGAAGUCGGAAUCGCUAGUAAUCGCGGAUCAGCAUGCCGCGGUGAAUACGUUCCCGGGCCUUGUACACACCGCCCGUCACACCAUGAGAGUUUGUAACACCCAAAGUCGGUGGGGUAACCUUUUAGGAACCAGCCGCCUAAGGUGGGACAGAUGAUUAGGGUGAAGUCGUAACAAGGUAA
rnacentral:rRNA from 2 species